rnacentral:lncRNA from 1 species
AGGAGCACCUCACUGUCUCCCUCUGCCCACCCACCUGCACCUGACAGCUGUGGGCUGUGCUCUCAGGGAGGCACCGUCAGAUGCUACCAGACUACAGAGGAGAGCACCCUCAAUCCUGACUGAAGGUUUGGGAAAAGGCUGCUCAGAAGAGGUGAUACUUGAUAUGGGCCCUGGAGGAGGAGAAGCAGUUUGAGAAGACAGCAGUGAGAGAUGGCAUCCGGGCAGGCGAGAAAUGUCCUGAGCACCAAGGGUACAGUCAGAAAUGAUGAAUCCAGAAAUGAUGCCCUCCAGAACUUCUGGUGAGGAAGGCACUCAGGAAAAUGCAGCACCCUAUGGAGGCCCAGAAAGGAGGGCAUUCAGGAAGAACACAGUCUGAUGGUGUCAAGUGCAGCGGAGGCUAAGAGCCUCAGUGCCUCCUUCAGAGAUGCGGUGGAUAUUAGCUUCUGUUGUAUCCUUCAUACAGAACCUGGUGCUGAGAGACAGCUUCUUCUUUUUUUUUUUUUCUUUAAACUUUUCUUAAGACUAGUCAAGUACAGUAUCAAGAAGACGGGAAAGAGUAGAACAAGGAAUUGGAUCCGUAACUGACUGUGAACAAUCAAUUGAGGUAACUCAUUACCUUUGAACCAACCUGGGAGGCAGCCUUGUGACUCACCUCAAUCCUCAAUCUUCUCAGCUAGUUCACUUUGGCCUGGCUCAGGGGCUGACCUAGAAUGAUCCUGUCCAGAAGGACCCUGGAUGUUCUUAGAGACACAGACUGCUAGGGCUGGCAGGGACUUUUCAUCCAAUUCCUCUGUGACAGAGGAGGAAGUGGAGGUGCAGAAGGAGAGGUGAGCUGCCUGUGGUCCUUCAGCUUACUAAUGGCAGUGUUAGGACUGGACCUGAGGGCUCUUCCCUCCAGUCCGGCGCUAUUUAUUCCAUGACAGUGCCUCUCAAACUGUGUUCUCACAAGCAGCUAGUGCUCAGGCAGCUGGACUGAGGCCCUGCCUGCCAAAUCAAAUAUUGGAGGUCUUUCUCCAAUGUGCAGAAAAAAAAAGUAAUUAAUGGGUUAAGUUUCCUUAGGGUUAAAUUAUUUUUCCAUUAAUGCUUCUUAAACCAUUGUCACCUGCUACCAAUUGUCUACUAGCCAAUGCAUGCAGGCAACAAAACAAAAGGAUAAGCCACAAGUAAAUAAGAACAAGAACAACCAAAGCCUUGGAAACACACCAUCAUUCUUAAGUUAAAGGCUUAAAAAAAAAAUAGAGGAAGACUGCUAUGACUGUGGACUUUCUAUUGCAUUCACAUAAUAAAAUCAUGCGACAUUGUUUUGAAUUCAAAUGCUAAAAGUAAA